UGCUUCUAAUGUGAAGAUGAGUUAGGCAUCUUUCUAUUGGCAAGCA
rnacentral:precursor_RNA from 1 species